CUGAAGCAAGAACUUAAGGUCAAGGACCAUUAGAACUAUUUGUGCAAAAACAAUCUUAUGUUCAGAGAAAAAUACGGAAAAUCAUCAGAAAAAGAAACAACAUCAGCUGGACUGAUAUAAAAUUGUAUAAGAAUUGGAGGAAAUGGCAUGCCUUGGAUCAUGGCAGCCUGCCCAGGAUUGUCUCUUUGGAAUUGUGUGGGUAGAAAGCCUAGUAAACAAAGGCAAAGAACCGAUGAUGUGACAGAAUGGACUAUAAAUGGAUGCCUAUGAUUUCUGCAAAUCAGAGUAGUUUUUUGAUCCAGAGUCCCGUGGAGAUAGAUGUGGUUUUCGCUGGCUCCCAGCAUCUUAUGAUUUUAUCCUGAUGGAAGGAAUCUUGACUGGCCAUCGGGACCAUUCUGACCUUUGGACUCUGGUAUAAUCUCUGAAGGCCUCAACUCUGCAAGCCCCUAGGCUUGAAACAAUGCCAUCAGAGCACACAUGCUUCCAGAUUGAAUUCAAUGUUUCUAAAUAAGGUAUAAUAGAAAAAAACAACUUGAAUAAUUACUACAUCUGGCUUUCAUAUUAUGGAAGUGUACUCAUCUCUUCAAAAUACUUAGCAGUUUUUGCUUCAGCUUUUGCAGUGUGAGACAAAAGGAAAUUUCAUUGCAUCAACAGUUGAAGUGAGUUUUAAAGUGUAUAAAAAGAUAUCUCAGAGGGAGGUUCUUUGGCCAGCCAAGUGGGGAAUGGAAAGUCCUGCCAUACACUGAGCUCAAAUUUUUCAUCUCUCUCUGAACUCCAGGCUUGGAGCUGUGAGGCUGACCCUGCACCUGUCUAUGGAACUGCAGAUGGCUGAUGUAACACAGGCUAUUGCCUUCAAAACAGGAAGGAGGAGGAGAACCAGAUUGCUUGUGUGAGAUGAACGCACAUUUCCAAAAUGCUAAUUAUUUGUUCCCUAAAAUAUUACAGACAUCUUGUGCAUUUACAAUUGGGAUUCAUCUUCAUGCAUCAUUAAAAGCCUAAUUUGUACCUUUGGAGAAGGAGAAAAGUCUGUUCAGAAAUUACAAAAUUUUUAGCUAUAUGCCAAACAACUCUCAUAUUAUUUAUUAAUGUAUUUUAUUUCUUCUUCUAGUGAAUUAAAGGAAUCAGAAGCAGAAACAAAUAUAGUACUCAUAGUGACUUCAAGUAUAGAUUUCAAUAAUCUAAAUGAAGCAUCAUCACACAGGAAAAGUAUAAAUCAAAUAUAUUCAUCAUCCUUGUCUUUUUAAAAAAAAAAAAUCAGUGAAUGUAGUAGCUAAAGGAAUUGUCAAUGUCCUUUGCAGUUAACAAGAGACAUCAGAAUAUAUAAUUAACUACAAUGGUCUAUUAAAGCAGUAGAAAUAGAACAAAAUUGGUACCUUUCUGAAAAUAUAAAAUAGCACAGCAGUAUUAGAACUUUCAAACAAAAUAACAGUUGAUUUUAAGGAUAAACUGGAAAAAGUAUACCAAAUUGUAAAAAAUAAUUUAUUUUAAUAUUGAAAAUGAGGCAUGUUUUAUCUGAUACCAAAAAUACACCUUAAUCUAACAUUGUCCACCAAGCAAAUAUAUGAACAAAAUAACUUAAAAAUUAAACAUAGAAACUAUUGUACAAAAAAGAGCUUUAUAUUUAUGAAGUAUAGUAUUUGAGGCCUGUUAUCAGUAUUCUAUUAAUAAAUGGAAGCCCCUUCC